UAGAGUUUGAUCCUGGCUCAGGACGAACGCUGGCGGCGUGCCUAAUACAUGCAAGUCGAGCGGACUUGAUGGAGUGCUUGCACUCCUGAUGGUUAGCGGCGGACGAGUGAGUAACACGUAGGCAACCUGCCUGUAAGACUGGGAUAACUCACGGAAACGUGUGCUAAUACCGGAUACGCGGUGCCCUCGCAUGAGGGCGUCGGGAAAGACGGAGCAAUCUGUCACUUAUAGAUGGGCCUGCGGCGCAUUAGCUAGUUGGAGAGGUAACGGCUCCCCAAGGCGACGAUGCGUAGCCGACCUGAGAGGGUGAUCGGCCACACUGGGACUGAGACACGGCCCAGACUCCUACGGGAGGCAGCAGUAGGGAAUCUUCCGCAAUGGACGAAAGUCUGACGGAGCAACGCCGCGUGAGUGAUGAAGGUUUUCGGAUCGUAAAGCUCUGUUGCCAGGGAAGAACGCCAUCCAGUUAACUGCUGGGUGGGUGACGGUACCUGAGAAGAAAGCCCCGGCUAACUACGUGCCAGCAGCCGCGGUAAUACGUAGGGGGCAAGCGUUGUCCGGAAUUAUUGGGCGUAAAGCGCGCGCAGGCGGUCUUUUAAGUCAGGUGUUUAAGCCCGGGGCUCAACCUCGGUUCGCACCUGAAACUGGGAGACUUGAGUGCAGGAGAGGAAAGUGGAAUUCCACGUGUAGCGGUGAAAUGCGUAGAGAUGUGGAGGAACACCAGUGGCGAAGGCGACUUUCUGGCCUGUAACUGACGCUGAGGCGCGAAAGCGUGGGGAGCAAACAGGAUUAGAUACCCUGGUAGUCCACGCCGUAAACGAUGUCUACUUGGAGGUUGUGGCCUUGAGCCGUGGCUUUCGGAGCUAACGCGUUAAGUAGACCGCCUGGGGAGUACGGUCGCAAGAUUAAAACUCAAAUGAAUUGACGGGGGCCCGCACAAGCGGUGGAGCAUGUGGUUUAAUUCGAUGCAACGCGAAGAACCUUAC
rnacentral:rRNA from 1 species